ACGAACACUUAAAUUUAUAUUCCGGGUGGCCAUUUUCCUUUCUGUGCCAUCCACUCAUAUACGACUUGUACCAACCCGCGAGCAAAUCAUUACCACCCGCUCUUGAUAUCCCUCCAUCCUUUCCAAACUUUUCCCUGAAAUCUACAUUCGUAAAACACCCCGAGGCGAACAAUCACCCAAGCCAUAUCUGUCAUUUGCAGCGACGUGGCUUAUACUGAACGUUACAUCAACUAUUAUUUGAGGGCCCCCCGGGGGGAACUACCAAUUUCACAGCAUUGGAAAAUCGAUGCAGUGGAUAUAUUGAAUCAUUCUGUAGGGAGAAAGUUUGAGACCCAUUUAUAGCAGGGAAAACAGAUUGAUAAAUCGAAGUCCUGAAAAAUGGCAACUUGAUGAUACACCUUGCCUUUUGGAUGGAUACCAAAUUACGUUGUGUUUUGUUUCUCAAUCAAGAAUUCGAGUUCAAAAAAAAGAUAGGUCAUUUCUUUCCUACAUUAUCCAUUGUAUACAGGCCGGCCCCUUUGUUUCAAUGAGGAUGUAUGCACACUCGACCCAUGGACAUAGAAUGGGGGUUUAAGGAAAAAAUUGU
rnacentral:sRNA from 1 species